GCUCUAAAGCUACACUUGAGUCUCAACAGUGAGGACACAGUUGGAUUUAAGUUUAGGGGAGUAUUCUACCAUCCUUACUUUAUUUCUCAGUUAUUUUAUUUUUAGUACAAUUUCCCUUUUAGCAAAUAAAAUAAAAGCACUAUUUUUGGGUAAAUUUUAAAUUUUUCCUUUUCUUGAGCCAAAUUAAAAUUUUUUUCAAAGACUUUGGAUAAUAGCUCACUUAGAAAGUAUAUAGGUUAAGAAAAGACGAGAGGCUAAGUUAAGGAAAUUAGGGAAUUUUACAACAAAAUCGAUAUUUUUCCAACACCCAGAAGUCUCCCUAGUAUAGAUAUCAAUUUGAAUAACCAUUGUGCCAAAAUCUCUUGAUUUAAAUUUGUGGAAUCCUUUAGUAGUUUAUCUAUCCAGUCGGACACCAUCUAUAAAGUCACACAUUAAGUAAGUUUGUCGAUGAAUAUAAGCGAAUCAUCUAAGCAAAUUUUUAAGGUCAUACUGUGGUAAUACGGUUAAACCUUAAAAAAAAAUAUAUAAGGUCAUACUGUGGUAAUACGGUUAAACCUUAGAAAAAAAAAAUAUAUUUAUAUGAUUGCUAAUACAAAAAUUUGUAUCAUCAAGCUAUU
rnacentral:lncRNA from 1 species